GGGGACCUUCGGGCCUUGCGCUAUCAAAUGAGCCUAGGUCGGAUUAGCUAGUUGGUGGGGUAAUGGCUCACCAAGGCGACGAUCCGUAACUGGUCUGAGAGGAUGAUCAGUCACUCUGGAACUGAGACACGGUCCAGACUCCUACGGGAGGCAGCAGUGGGGAAUAUUGGACAAUGGGCGAAAGCCUGAUCCAGCCAUGCCGCGUGUGUGAAGAAGGUCUUCGGAUUGUAAAGCACUUUAAGUUGGGAGGAAGGGUUGUAGAUUAAUACUCUGCAAUUUUGACGUUACCGACAGAAUAAGCACCGGCUAACUCUGUGCCAGCAGCC
rnacentral:rRNA from 1 species